rnacentral:pre_miRNA from 1 species
UACUAAAAUUUGAUCCAUUUCUAUUGUUAAAAAUUGGCUUGAUUGAUAGCAUCCACAUGUACCUCAUUUUGACAUACAAGGAUCAAUUUUUAACAGUAAAAAUAGAUGAUAGUUUUAACA